AGCAGCCGCCGCGGUAAAACGAAGGGUGCAAGCGUUACUCGGAAUUACUGGGCGUAAAGCGUGCGUAGGUGGUGGUUUAAGUCCGUUGUGAAAGCCCUGGGCUCAACCUGGGAAUUGCAGUGGAUACUGGGUCACUAGAGUGUGGUAGAGGAUAGUGGAAUUUCCGGUGUAGCAGUGAAAUGCGUAGAGAUCGGAAGGAACAUCUGUGGCGAAGGCGACUAUCUGGGCCAACACUGACACUGAGGCACGAAAGCGUGGGGAGCAAACAGGAUUAGAUACCCCUGUAGUCCCUGUCUCUUAUAC
rnacentral:rRNA from 1 species